rnacentral:lncRNA from 1 species
UUUUUUUUUUUUUUUUUUUUUGGUCUGUUUAAUGGCCAGUGUUCUCUGACUCCCUUCACAUGACUUUGACAGUAACUCUCUUCUGGCUCAGAUACUAGCAAAAGGCCUGCUAUUUAGGUUUGGGGGCUUGUCUGGGAAGUGAGUGUAGCAUCAGUAAAUACCUGUUUUUUCUGGAUCAGAUAACCCUAUAGACAACCACAGCAGGCAGACCACGGCUGGCUUUUUUUUUUUUUAAUACAUGUGUCUAUGGGAAGUUAUCUCCUGGAAGCUUCAGAAACUUCAACCUUGCUUUGGAGCUUGUGCCUCAUGCUGUGGGGUUUACCCUUGAGGGAUGGCUGGGGUACAGCUGUGGAGGACCAUUUGGAACAUUUAGAAAUGUUAUGAAUUAGAAUCCUGUUAAUUCUCUGAUGCUUAUUUCACAGGGAUUUCAUAAGUGGGUGCUUCAUGUAGAACUUAAUUUCUUCUUCCCUUCAUUCCAUCCCUCUGUGGAUUCGGAACAGGGUGGGAUUAGUCACAGCCUGGAACCUUCCAUUGUAGCUCACUCCCUGUGGCUUCAACCUGCAGUAUUCUCAGGGCUGGUUCUCACACCAGCCUUGAGCUUCUGGGGGGCCAGAUGCAAUGUUAAUUCGCUUUUGUUUCCCAGAUCCUAGAACAGUGUGAUCCAGUACAAAUACACAGUGCACAGAUAAAUAUACAGGAAGGUACUAAUUGUAGGUAUGUCCCUUGCUUGCAUGUACUGUUAAUUUGGAUUUCAAGUAAAUGAUAAUUUUUUUUUAGUAUUAGUAUGUUUCAUGAAAUCUAUAGAUUUAAUUGGUCAGUCUACAUUUUUAUUUGCUAUACUAGACAACGCUAUAUAGUGUACAUGACUUAGAAACUAUAUUUUUUACCUUCCAAGUAGAUAUAAACUUAUAAUGUAUCUCAACUAAGAUGUAUCAAGGUCUCCCAAGACUUGGGCUGUCCUAUGGAAGGCAGAGUGGGAAUUGCAAAUAGCUAAUAGCCAUACUUCACAGGCAUUAAAGGAAGAUGGCCUUUGGCCUAUAGCAACUACAUGGCCUUGACAUGGAAUGUGUAUUAAGGACCACCGAGUUAAUGGUGUUGUCUGUGCUUCUUGUUGUCUUCUUCCAGGCACUUGCAGUACAAAGGUUUGCAGUUUACAAUGCACAGACACCUCUGGCCAUGCUGAUUAAUUAAUGAAACAGGUUGUCUGGGAUUUUGGAGCUCUGGUUAGACUCAGGUUCUCCUAUUUUGCCUUUGUCUCUGAGGCUGGGGUUCUCAAAUCAGUGCUCACUAUUUUAUUUAUUUUUCUGUCUGCCUAUCUGUCUGUCUGUCUAUCCACCUAUCAUGUAUUUAUCUAUCUACUAUUUAUCUACCUACCUAUCAUCUAUCUAUCUAUCUAUCUAUCUAUCUAUCUAUCUAUCUAUCUAUGGCUUUUUUUUUUUUUAAAGACAGGGUUUCUCUGUAGCUCUGGCUGUCCUGGAACUUUCUCUGAAGACCAGGCCAACCUCAAAUACAGAGAUUUGCCUGCCUCUGCUGGGAUUAAAGAAAUGUUUCACCAUGCCUAGCUGACAAUAUCCACUCUUAUUCCUCCAUUCCCAAUAAGGGGACAGGGCAGGCAGAGCAAGAGUGUAUCAACUAUUUUGCUAGUGGAAUAUAGCCUUGGGACACACUAUGGCAACACGGGGUCUUUUAAGCCUUGUGUUCUCCCUGUAUCUGUUGCAUAUGCAUGUGUGUGGGUAUGCGGGAAGGUGUGUGGAUGUGUGUGCUGGUACACAUAAACUCUGUAGCUCAGCUAGCAUGAGUGGAUGAUGGUAACCUCAUUUUUUAUACUAGUAAAUGGAGCAGGUAGGGACAUAAGGGACAGAUCUGACUCAGGCAGUAGCUGCUGCUGAGAAUAGUCAGGACCUCUAUCUUCUAUGUAGUCUGCUCCCCUCCCCCACUCCACAGUCAGGCUGCCUCCCACACACUGAGGAAGACUCUGAAAUGUGCUGGGUAGAAAUGUUUUUGUGGCAUUGUCAACAGUUCUGACCUUCAUGUGUUGGAGGAUCAGACCAUGCUCCUAGCAUGUAAAAUUGACUCAGUAGGGCUAAAAACAAUGAUAGACUUGCAUUAGAAAGCAUCUCAAUACACCUCUGUCCUUGACCACAGGGGAGAGCUUCAAAUGGUACAUGUGCCCUGUUGCCCGUUCUCUAGUGAGGAAAAUAGAAGCAGAAAGUUUGUUUUCUGGGUUUCAGAACUCAAACCCAGUUCAUGCUCAUUAAAAGCGUCAGUGGCAAGGAUCCUCAGAAGUUGAAAUCUUGGCUUUGGUGGGUGGGACAGCAGCUAGAAAACUCAUUAUUUGCACAGACAUAAAUAUCUUCAUUGGCUUUGAAGUGCUGCUGGAACCUGGGCUCCCUGGAGGAUGGGCUGUCAGGCUGCAUGGAUGUGAGUGUCAUAAAGCUGGAAGUCAUCUUGCCUUGUAGAAACUGACCUGCUACCCCCUAUACUUCCCAAGCUGGCCCAUGUGUUGCUGUGCAAGGGACCACCCAGUCCUUAUUAAUGAUCUGCUUGGGGAUGUAGAGUCCAUUACUGAAGCCUUGCUUUGCCCAGAGAAGAUACUUUAGUAUUAAUUAUGGGAGUGGAAGACACCGUGGCUCUUACAAGCCAGGAAGCCUUGAUUUAUGGAAGGCCUUGAAGCUUCCCAUUUCCCCGUUUAUCUUAGUGGAAUACCAUCACACAUGUUGUGGUGGGAUUGACUUCCAGUAUUUGUUUAAGCACAUUCUCUGGUUAAAGCUUUGGUGAAUGG